GACGAACGCUGGCGGCGUGCUUAACACAUGCAAGUCGAACGGAAAGGCCUGCUUUCCCUUGUGGAUUGCGGGUACUCGAGUGGCGAACGGGUGAGUAACACGUGAGUGAUCUGCCCCCAACUUGGGUAUAAGCCUGGGAAACUGGGUCUAAUUCCCGAUAGGACUGCAGGGUGGUGCCUGUGGUGGAAAACGAUUUUCUAGUGGUUGGGGAUGAGCUCGCGGCCUAUCAGCUUGUUGGUGGGGUAAUGGCCUACCAAGGCGGCGACGGGUAGCCGGCCGGAGAGGGUGGACGGCCACAUUGGGACUGAGAUACGGCCCAGACUCCUACGGGAGGCAGCAGUGGGGAAUAUUGCACAAUGGGCGGAAGCCUGAUGCAGCGACGCCGCGUGGGGGAUGACGGCCUUCGGGUGGUAAACUCCUUUCGACCGCGAGGAAGCCACCUGGUUGGAAGGGUGGUGACGGUAGUGGUAGAAGAAGCACCGGCUAACUACGUG
rnacentral:rRNA from 1 species